AACGAACGCUGGCGGCGUGCUUAACACAUGCAAGUCGAACGCGAAAGGGGCUUCGGUCCUGAGUAGAGUGGCGCACGGGUGAGUAACGCGUAGAUAACCUGUCCUGGUGUCUGGAAUAACGUCUCGAAAGGGGCACUAAUACCGGAUAUUCUUGCUUUCUUCAAGGUAUGCAAGGAAAGGUGGCCUCUGGAACAAGCUACUGCACGAGGAGGGGUCUGCGUACCAUUAGCUAGUAGGUGGGGUAAUGGCCUACCUAGGCGACGAUGGUUAGCGGGUCUGAGAGGAUGAUCCGCCACACUGGCACUGGAAUACGGGCCAGACUCCUACGGGAGGCAGCAGUGAGGAAUAUUGCGCAAUGGGGGCAACCCUGACGCAGCGACGCUGCGUGAGUGAGGAAGGCCUUCGGGUCGUAAAGCUCUGUCAAGAGGGAAGAAGUGCAUGGUGGUUAAUAUCUGUCAUGUUUGACGGUACCUCUAAAGGAAGCACCGGCUAACUCCGUGCCAGCAGCCGCCGUAAUAC
rnacentral:rRNA from 1 species